rnacentral:rRNA from 1 species
UACGGAGGGUGCGAGCGUUGACCGGAAUCACUGGGCGUAAAGGGCGCGUAGGCGGCGCGGGAAGUCCGUGGUGAAAGCCCGAGGCUCAACUUCGGGUCGGCCAUGGAUACUCCUGGGCUUGAGCACUGUAGAGGCAGGUGGAAUUCCGGGUGUAGCGGUGGAAUGCGUAGAGAUCCGGAAGAACACCGGUGGCGAAGGCGGCCUGCUGGGCAGUAGCUGACGCUGAGGCGCGACAGCGUGGGGAGCAAACAGG